UCGCGGCUUAUCACCGGCAGUCCCCUUAGAGUGCCCAACUGAAUGAUGGCAACUAAGGGCGAGGGUUGCGCUCGUUGCGAGACUUAACCCAACAUCUCACGACACGAGCUGACGACAGCCAUGCACCACCUGUGCACCGGCCCCGAAGGGCUGCCGUAUUUCUACGACAUUCCAGUGCAUGUCGAGCCUUGGUAAGGUUCUUCGCGUCGCGUCGAAUUAAACCACAUGCUCCGCUGCUUGUGCGGGCCCCCGUCGAUUCCUUUGAGUUUUAGCCUUGCGGCCGUACUUCCCAGGCGGGGCACUUAAUGCGUUAGCUACGGCACGGAGCCCGUCGAUCGAACCCCACACCUAGUGCCCAACGUUUACGGCGUGGACUAC
rnacentral:misc_RNA from 1 species